GUCGUCUGCUGUAUUGUCUAGACUCUAGACUAGUGUUGAGAACGAGACGAAGUUUAAGAUUAUAAAGAAAACAGAACCAUCAAUUUUUGAAAACGUACGUGGCUGCACAAGAAAUUUCAUAGUUAAUGAAAUUACUGGGAUGUGGUCGUCUUGUGGACUGUGUCGGUUAUCUCGGUGUGAACUCGUGUGAACUCUGUCUCGGUGUCGUGGCUCUCCAUGCUCUUCACUCCAUGCUGUUUGGCGGAUUUGAGGCCUGAGCCAAACAUCAUAACAACACAAUAAGCAAGUUUUGCUCAUGCUGGUACUGAAGUGUUGGAUCAACAGUAUCCCAUUUGAUUGGAGAAAGUCAGCACCUUUCCUUGAAUCCCAUCUGUGUCCUCAUGUGGGUGUAUUCACGAGGACCCCAUUUUGCCUAUCCUGCCUGGUGUAUUCAACUUUACUGCACGGAUGGAUGAAGCACGUGGAUGCCUGGCCGUAUUUCCCAGGCUUAAAGGUAGAACAAAAUGUAUUUCUUUUCUUCCUUUUAGACUAUCUGGUGCUGGCGUUGAUUAUUAAUCGUUACACAGUACGGAGUACGAUUAUUCCACAGCUAGGCGAUUGACUGCAACUGUUUUCUCUUGCCGUUUCUAUGUUUACUCA